AGAACGAACGCUGGCGGCAGGCUUAACACAUGCAAGUCGAGCGCCCAGCAAUGGGAGCGGCGGACGGGUGCGUAACACGUGGGAACAUGCCUUUCGGUACGGAACAACUGCGGGAAACUGCAGCUAAUGCCGUAUACGCCCUUACGGGGAAAGAUUUAUCGCCGAAAGAUUGGCCCGCGUCUGAUUAGCUAGUUGGUGAGGUAACGGCUCACCAAGGCUUCGAUCAGUAGCUGGUUUGAGAGAACGACCAGCCACACUGGGACUGAGACACGGCCCAGACUCCUACGGGAGGCAGCAGUGGGGAAUCUGACAAUGGGCGAAAGCCUGAUCCAGCCAUGCCGCGUGAGUGAUGAAGGCCUUCGGGUUGUAAAACUCUUUACCUGGGAAGAUAAUGACUGUACCAGGAGAAUAAGCCCGGACUAACUUCGUGCCAGCAGCCGC
rnacentral:rRNA from 1 species